rnacentral:rRNA from 1 species
CCAGGUUGAUUCUGCCUGACGUAGACGCUAUUCCCUAAGAUUAACCCAUGCAUGUUUUUGACAUUUGAAAAAUGGACUGCUCAGUAAUACUCACUUUAUUUUAUGUAUAUUUGAAAUUAACUACGUUAAAGUGUAGAUAAGAUGUGUACAGUAAGAGUGAGACCUAUCAGCUAGUUGUUAAGGUAAUGGCUUAACAAGGCAGUGACGGGUAACGGUAUUACUUUGUAAUAUUCCGGAGAAGGAGCCUGAGAGACGGCUACUAAGUCUAAGGAUUGCAGCAGGGGCGAAACUUGACCUAUGGAUUUUAUCUGAGGCAGUUAUGGGAAGUAAUAUUAUAUUGUUUCAUAUUGUAAAAGUAUAUGAGGUGAUUAGUUGGAGGGCAAAUCAAGUGCCAGCAGCCGCGGUAAUACUUGUUCCAAGAGUGUGUAUGAUGAUUGAUGCAGUUAAAAAGUCCGUAGUUUAUUUUUAAGAAGCAAUAUGAGGUGUACUGUAUAGUUGGGAGAAAGAUGAAAUGUGACGACCCUGACUGGACGAACA